UACGUAGGCAGCGAGCGUUGUUCGGAAUUACUGGGCGUAAAGAGUGUGUAGGCGGUGCUCCCAGUCUGUUGUGAAAUCUCCCGGCUUAACUGGGAGGGUGCAGCGGAAACUAGAGUGCUAGAGGGUGGGAGAGGUAAGCGGAAUUCCUGGUGUAGCGGUGAAAUGCGCAGAUAUCAGGAGGAACACCAGCGGCGAAGGCGGCGCUCUGGGCCGGAACUGACGCUGAGGAGCGAAAGCGUGGGGAGCAAACAGG
rnacentral:rRNA from 1 species